rnacentral:rRNA from 1 species
CAGUCGCCACGGUAAUACAGAGGGUGCGAGCGUUAAUCGGAUUUACUGGGCGUAAAGCGUGCGUAGGCGGCUUUUUAAGUCGGAUGUGAAAUCCCUGAGCUUAACUUAGGAAUUGCAUUCGAUACUGGGAAGCUAGAGUAUGGGAGAGGAUGGUAGAAUUCCAGGUGUAGCGGUGAAAUGCGUAGAGAUCUGGAGGAAUACCGAUGGCGAACGCAGCCAUCUGGCCUAAUACUGACGCUGAGGUACGAAAGCAUGGGGAGCAAACAGGAUUAGAGACCCCUGUAGUCCCUGUCUCUUAUAC